AGAGCUGUAGCUCAAUGGCAGAGUGUCUGCCUUGCAAACCGAAGGUCCCAGGUUCAGCGCCUAAUGGGAUUUCCAGGCAGGUUUG